UAGUAAGUAUCGGAUCAGCUUUUAAAAUUAACAUUUCAAUGUGCAUGUUAUUCCAAUGUAGACUCAUACGCACAUCCAAGUUGAAGGUGCUGGGCUGAGAUGAAUCAAGUUGAAUUUUCGGAUCGAAACAUUGUCUGUAAUGUGUACAAUCACGAAUAAACGUGUAUAAGCAUUUAAGUGUGCAGGCUUUCUUUCUAAAAUUCUAUAUGCAUGUUAUUCAUCAUCAAGGAUUGACAAAGCAGGCGUAGUUAACUGAACUUCAAUUUAUUGCAGGCUUUUAACAUGGCAUUGAACUAUUUAAAAAUACACAACUUAACAUUCGUUUCACUUUUGUAGCCAAAAUCAAGCAUUUAGAACAGAACUAAAAGUUGUUCAAACGAACAUUUUCCCCUGCCUCUCCCUCUGCCUCAGCCUCUCCCACCUCUUGUUCUAGCAACACAUCACAGAGGAUGGACAGCUGCUGGGGAAUUGCUGGAAGGUUCACUGGACACUGGAUCCGGAGGGGCAGCAGAGCAGCUUGGACCUGGGAUGGCAGAGCCAUCUGCCAAACACAUUUUUGUUUGUUAAAAGAAUGAAUAACUGUUGUAUACAAGUAUAUCACAUGUUGCUUAAUUAAUGAUGCAUAUUUUUGUUUGAAAAUAAAUGGCAUUGCUCAAAGUGA